GAAGAUGCAGACCGCGUAGCUGAGCAGGUCCAUUCCCGUGGUGAUGUGCACCAUCUUGCUCCUCUCGAACAUCUUCACCAGGAGAAUCAUCACGAUGAUGUGGCCCAGCUUCGUUUUGAGCUCAUCGAGAGAGCUGAUUCUCAUCCACCUCGGUCUCUCCUGCAGCAACAAGAAGUGAAUGGUUCAGCGGCUUUCAGUUUCAUGACAUGAAAAUCGUUGCUGAUGAACAGCCCAUACAGACCCAUCCCAAAAAUCAGCAUGACUGUUCCAGCAAGAUACACAUCUGGCCACAAAGCAGCA
rnacentral:sRNA from 1 species